UCCAGCUUAUCGCUGGCGGUCUCCUGCGAGUUGCGCCUUGCGGCAUGCCAACACAGGACAAGGGUUGCGCUCGUUGCGGGACUUAACCCAACAUCUCACGACACGAGCUGACGACAGCCAUGCAGCACCUGUGCUGGAGCUCCGAAGAGGGGCACCUGUUUCCAGGCGCUUUCCCCAGCAUGUCAAGCCUUGGUAAGGUUCUUCGCGUCGCGUCGAAUUAAACCACAUGCUCCGCUGCUUGUGCGGGCCCCCGUCAAUUCCUUUGAGUUUCAGCCUUGCGGCCGUACUCCCCAGGCGGGGCACUUCAUGCGUUAGCGCCGGUACUCCAAGGGUCGCUCCCCCCGACGCCUAGUGCCCAUCGUUUACGGCGUGGACUAC
rnacentral:misc_RNA from 1 species